rnacentral:rRNA from 1 species
GAUGAACGCUGGCGGCGUGCCUAAUACAUGCAAGUUGAGCGAACGGACGAGAAGCUUGCUUCUCUGAUGUUAGCGGCGGACGGGUGAGUAACACGUGGAUAACCUACCUAUAAGACUGGGAUAACUUCGGGAAACCGGAGCUAAUACCGGAUAAUAUUUUGAACCGCAUGGUUCAAAAGUGAAAGACGGUCUUGCUGUCACUUAUAGAUGGAUCCGCGCUGCAUUAGCUAGUUGGUAAGGUAACGGCUUACCAAGGCAACGAUGCAUAGCCGACCUGAGAGGGUGAUCGGCCACACUGGAACUGAGACACGGUCCAGACUCCUACGGGAGGCAGCAGUAGGGAAUCUUCCGCAAUGGGCGAAAGCCUGACGGAGCGACGCCGCGUGAGUGAUGAAGGUCUUCGGAUCGUAAAACUCCGUUAUUAGGGAAGAACAUAUGUGUAAGUAACUGUGCACAUCUUGACGGUACCUAAUCAGAAAGCCACGGCUAACUACGUG